rnacentral:rRNA from 1 species
AUUGAACGCUGGCGGCAUGCUUUACACAUGCAAGUCGAACGGUAACAGGCCGCAAGGUGCUGACGAGUGGCGAACGGGUGAGUAAUGCAUCGGAACGUGCCCAGUCGUGGGGGAUAACGCAGCGAAAGCUGUGCUAAUACCGCAUACGAUCUGUGGAUGAAAGCGGGGGACCUUCGGGCCUCGCGCAAUUGGAGCGGCCGAUGUCAGAUUAGGUAGUUGGUGGGGUAAAGGCUCACCAAGCCGACGAUCUGGAGCUGGUCUGAGAGGACGACCAGCCACACUGGGACUGAGACACGGCCCAGACUCCUACGGGAGGCAGCAGUGGGGAAUUUUGGACAAUGGGCGCAAGCCUGAUCCAGCAAUGCCGCGUGCAGGAAGAAGGCCUUCGGGUUGUAAACUGCUUUUGUACGGAGCGAAAAGGCUCCCUCUAAUACAGGGGGCUCAUGACGGUACCGUAAGAAUAAGCACCGGCUAACUACGUGCCAGCCGCCGCGGUAA